rnacentral:rRNA from 1 species
AUACGGAGGGUGCAAGCGUUACUCGGAAUCACUGGGCGUAAAGCGAACGCAGGCGGCCCGGCAAGUCGGGUGUGAAAGCCCGGGGCUCAACCCCGGAAUUGCACUCGAAACUGCCGGCCUUGAGUACGGGAGAGGGAAGCGGAAUUCCUAGUGUAGAGGUGAAAUUCGUAGAUAUUAGGAGGAACACCCGUGGCGAAAGCGGCUUCCUGGCCCGAUACUGACGCUCAUGUUCGAAAGCGUGGGGAGCAAACAGGAUUAGAAACCCCGGUAGUCC